GAUCGUGGCUCAGGAUGAACGCUGGCGGCAUGCCUAACACAUGCAAGUUGCACGAGAAGUUCCUGGAGGGAGUCUUCGGACGAACGAAGGGAUGGAAAGUAGCGAACGGGUGAGUAACGCGUGGGCAACCAACCUUACACAGGGGGAUAACACAGAGAAAUCUGUGCUAAUACCGCAUAAGCGCACAGUACUGCAUAGUACGGUGUGAAAAACUCCGGUGGUGUAAGACGGGCCCGCGUCUGAUUAGCUAGUUGGUAGGGUAAAAGCCUACCAAGGCAACGAUCAGUAGCCGACCUGAGAGGGUGAUCGGCCACAUUGGGACUGAGACACGGCCCAAACUCCUACGGGAGGCAGCAGUGGGGGAUAUUGCACAAUGGAGGAAACUCUGAUGCAGCAAUGCCGCGUGAAGGAAGAAGGUCUUCGGAUUGUAAACUUCUAUCAGCAGGGAAGAAAAUGACGGUACCUCGACU
rnacentral:rRNA from 1 species